GACGAACGCUGGCGGCGUGCCUAACACAUGCAAGUCGAACGGAACUGUUUUGACAGAUUUCUUCGGAAUGAAUUUGAUUUAGUUUAGUGGCGGACGGGUGAGUAACGCGUGAGUAACCUGCCUUCAAGAGGGGAAUAACAUUCUGAAAAGAAUGCUAAUACCGCAUGACAUAUCGGAACCACAUGGUUUUGAUAUCAAAGAUUUUAUCGCUUGAAGAUGGACUCGCGUCCGAUUAGUUAGUUGGUGAGGUAACGGCUCACCAAGACCGCGAUCGGUAGCCGGGCUGAGAGGUUGAACGGCCACAUUGGGACUGAGACACGGCCCAGACUCCUACGGGAGGCAGCAGUGGGGGAUAUUGCGCAAUGGGGGCAACCCUGACGCAGCAACGCCGCGUGAAGGAUGAAGGUUUUCGGAUUGUAAACUUCUUUUAUUAAGGACGAAAAAUGACGGUACUUAAUGAAUAAGCUCCGGCUAACUACGUG
rnacentral:rRNA from 1 species